UUGAUUAUUACUCAAAGGAGGUGGUUAAUUGUGGAAUUGAUGGUGGAAAUUAGGGCUUCUGUUCAAUCACAGUGGGUUCCUGGUAAAAGGCAUGAAUAUUCAUGAGGAUACAAUGACGAUUGUGGAAAGAUGAUAGUAGACUCCAGAUUCAAGAAGAAUAUGAUGAUUCAACAUUUGCUACACCUCUAUAUUUACCUCCAAUAACAGAAUGAGAUACAACAUGUUAAUGUUUGGAUGAUCAUAAACAAGUCUGUCACCAAGAAAGACACAAUAUCUUUAAGUAGAUCGACAAGUGUCCAGACAAACAUUCAAUCAACAACAAUGUAAGCAAUCAAAGUAUCAACGGAAGAUGGAAAAUGUUAAGGCCCUCGUCUAAUGCACCACAAAUGUAAUGAACAAUUGACUUUAAUGACAUAAAGUGUGGUUCUUGAGGAUCAUGUAUAAAAGGAUAAACCUCUUGAACGAAACAAGCAAUAUGAGGAGUUUUG
rnacentral:lncRNA from 1 species